GAGAAAGGCAGAAAUAACUUCAGAUCGUGUUUUGCCUCAUAAAACGGUAAAAAAAUGCAUUCGAAAGCAAUUUACAUGUUAAUCCUAUAUGCUUAUUUUUCUUGGAAGAUUUUGAAUAGCGACUAUAUAAAGCAGUUUCGUACAAGGUUUUGCUUCAGUCAACAGUCAGUAACACGUCCGGAUUGUUGUGAUAGAAAGGUGAUUUUUAGGUCGAGAUGUCGCAUGUGAAACUAAUAAGCGCAGUCGCAUUGAUAUUGUGUGGAAAAUUGGUGUCAGCAGCUCCAACAAACAAAGAAUCAACUUCUGCACUGUCCAUAGAGAAAGAAAACAAUCAUCAUGAAAUCGAUUUGAGUUAUAAGGUAAAAAGAGACAUUGGACAAAAUACUUUCCGAGAAGUAGUGGACUCCAGCAUCAUAAUAACGAAGUCACAACCAGUUUAUGAUGCUCGUGACGCAAUUGGAAUCACACCAAAAGUAAUAACGUGUUCGUUUUGCGGAAAAUAAUGCAUGAAAAAUAUUACGCAAAGUGGUGCUUUUCACUAUGAAAAUAGCGAUUUUUUAAAUGUUUAUUUUUUAUUUCUCUCAUAUUAUGCAUGAACUUUAUUCAUGAUAAAAAAAAUUGCAUCCCCAGUUUGUCAUUUUUACUCUAGUAUAAGUUUUGAGAAAAGCCCAAGCAUAAAAUCAUAGAAACUGUAAAUACAAAUAUCCUUUUCGCGACAAACCCGCACAAUUUUGUGCUGUUGAGCGAUAACAAUUUAGCAUAUUGUCAGAACAUUUGGAACGGUGGCAGAGCUGUACACCUGAAAAGCGAAACAGCAAAAGUCGGACUGGUGGUGAAUGCCUCAAAAACAAAGUACAUGCUGGUAGGCGGAACCGAACACGACCGGAUCCUCGGAUCCUUACUGACGGCUGACAGCGGAAGUCGGGCCUACUACGGGCUCCAGAAGAAACUGCGGUCGAAAAAGAUUCACCCACGCACCAAAUGCACCAUGUACAAAACGCUAAAAGACCGGUGGUACUCUACGGGUACGAGACAUGGACCAUGCUCGAGGAGGACCUGCAGGCACUCGGAGUUUUCGAGCGACGCGUGCUAAGGACGAUCUUCGGCGGUGUGCAGGAGAACGGUGUGUGGCGAAGAAAAAUGAACCACGAGCUCGCUGCACUUUACGGCGAACCCAGCCGUAAGCCAGUAAGCCGGAAGGAUACGGUGGGCAGGGCAUGUUGCAAGAAUGCCAGACAACAACCCUGCAAAGCUGGUGUGUACAACUGAUCCGGUUGGCACAAGAAGGCGUAGAGCGCAGAUGGGCGCGUCAGAGGAUGGAGAGCGGCAGCCACAAACCGAGUAUUGUGGCGUAAUAUUGUUGAUUAUGUCUUUUCUUAAUGAUGUUGAACAAAUAAAUGUAUGUAUUCUGCGUCCCGUGGUGAACUUUGCAAACAUGCCACAUCGCGUAUCCGUAUUCGGUCUGGACUUUAGCGUCUUUUACAGGGGAAUGCGGGUGGACCAUCUGAGCCCAAGGGAACUCGAUUAUGAGCUCUUCCUUCAAAGCGUUAUCAUUGCGGAUGACGAAACGCAUUGCAAACGCUGCCGUCGGUUGAAACACGUCGGUCACGAAUUCAUAAUCUACUAUGAUCAGGAACCAGAAAUCGAUCUGGGCGCGUGCAGAUAUUUGUUUCGGAAACACGAAAGGACCUUCUCUAGAUCAGCCAGUUAACUAGAGGAAAAUGUUUGUAAAGCUCGUCUGUUGCAUUUGGGUCACUGCCUCGUAGCUACGGUGUCCUAAUGGAAGAUAAGAAAAUAUUCAGGAACGAGCCAAGGUCUGGGGAUAAACAAUUUCUUGUCAAGCGACCCGUGUAUGACCCCGUGUACAUGUACAUACAUGUACCAUGUACAUGACCCCGUGCAUGCGACUGCCGAUUAUCUUUACGAUUCGGCUAUUCUGUUGUUCAUUGGUGCCUCGCUGAGCUGGUACACAGCCCGCAAAUAAAAUCCGCCUUUCGGUUCGGCUUUUCGUUAUAUCGCAGAGUACCUGUACUGGGACCUUCAGGAACGACGUUUCCGAUUUGUCGUGUCCAGUUAGCAAAUUCACGCACAAUAUUGUACCUAACGUUAACCUUGUUCAUGUUAGCUGACGCUCACCACGC